rnacentral:tRNA from 1 species
GCCUGGGUGGCUCAGUGGUUGAGCGUCUGCCUUCAGCCCAGGGUGUGACCCCGGGGUCCUGGGAUCAAUUCCCACAUCGGGCU